GAACUGCGAUAAGUAAUGUGAAUUGCAGAAUUCAGUGAAUCAUCGAGUCUUUGAACGCACAUUGCGCCCCUGGCAUUCCGGGGGGCAUGCCUGUCCGAGCGUCAUUGCUGCCCUUCAAGCCCGGCUUGUGUGUUGGGUCGUCGUCCCCUCCGGGGGACGGGCCCGAAAGGCAGCGGCGGCACCGCGUCCGGUCCUCGAGCGUAUGGGGCUUUGUCACCCGCUCGAUAAGGACCGGCCGGGCGCCAGCCGGCGUCUCCAACCUUUUUUUCUCAGGUUGACCUCGGAUCAGGUAGGGAUACCCGCUGAACUUAAGC
rnacentral:misc_RNA from 1 species